rnacentral:rRNA from 1 species
UACGUAGGUGGCGAGCGUUGUCCGGAUUUAUUGGGCGUAAAGGGAACGCAGGCGGUCUUUUAAGUCUGAUGUGAAAGCCUUCGGCUUAACCGAAGUAGUGCAUUGGAAACUGGAAGGCUUGAGUGCAGAAGAGGAGAGUGGAACUCCAUGUGUAGCGGUGAAAUGCGUAGAUAUAUGGAAGAACACCAGUGGCGAAAGCGGCUCUCUGGUCUGUAACUGACGCUGAGGUUCGAAAGCGUGGGUAGCAAACAGG